CUCUAAUAAUUCCUGGGGAUUUUAAUUUGGGGAUCAGAUGUUUCAUGCGCACGGGCGCUGAGAAUGAGAUCCCGACCCUGACUGUGAGGAGGAGCAUGCGAUCCCGGGGUGGUAAGAUUCCGCCAGGUGCGUGCAGGCGGGAGUGUAGAUGCUGCUCAGUGCUGAAUGUCUGAGCUACGCUGGAUGGGUAAUUAUUGCUGUGGCAGAUGCCGGCACAAGAUGCUUUUAUGUCGUUUUAUUUUUUAUGUUUAUGUUCUGUUAUAAUGAUGAAAAUAAUAAUUACACUCAGCUUAUGUAUUUACAUACCGCUGACUCCUGCCAGGCUCAUGGUUUAUGUUAAUGUUUUGAGAUGAAGUCACUCAGGCUGUAAGUAUGAACAGGUUAAUUGCUUUGUGCUUUUUUCACAGUUGUCAAUCAAAUUUUGGUUAAUUUAUAUUGCACAUUUCAUACAGGAACUUACACAAGCAGUGUAGAUAUUAACAUACUGAAAAAUAAAUAAUAAUUAUGAAAAAUAAAAAGCAACCACAGCUGUCCUGAUAGCAGCCAUUGUAAAGCUGGCUGGUUGCCAGAAACAUAUGCAAAAUCCUCAUCAUCCUCAAAAACUCUGGCCCAAUUGAAAAAUAAUUUUUAAAAGUAUUUAAAAAAAAAAAAAACCAAAACAAUAUACUGUCCUUUUAAGUACUCUAAUCUGUCCAAAGGCUUAAGCUCCGGCAGAUUUGCUUAUUUUGAGAAUUCCCUUUGAAUUACCCUCCCUUUCUGGAAGUGAUGAGACACGAGACAUUAAGAUUGUUUUCUUU